rnacentral:rRNA from 1 species
AGCAGCCGCGGUAAUUCCAGCUCCAAUAGCGUAUAUUAAAGUUGUUGCAGUUAAAAAGCUCGUAGUUGAAUUUCGGGAUCAAUCUAUCGGUCGUGCAAUAGUACGUACUGAUUUUAUUGAUUCCUCUCUUCUGAUGAACUAUGAUGUCAUUAAUUUGGUGUCAUAGGAAAUCAGGACUGUUACUUUGAAAAAUUAGAGUGUUUAAAGCAGGCUCACGCUUGAAUACAUUAGCAUGGAAUAACGAAAUAGGACGUUUGAUUCUAUUUUGUUGGUUUCUAGGAUCGACGUAAUGAUUAAUAGGGAUAGUUGGGGGCAUUAGUAUUCAAUUGUCAGAGGUGAAAUUCUUGGAUUUAUUGAAGACUAACUACUGCGAAAACAUUUGCCAAGGAUGUUUUCAUUAAUCAAGAACGAAAGUUAGGGGAUCGAAGACGAUCAGAUACCGUCGUAGUCUUAACCAUAAACUAUGCCGACUAGGGAUCGGAUGAUGUUAAUUUUUAAUGACUCAUUC